CUAGGGGUGUAAAGAUUAUUUCCAAAAUCAGUUAAGAGAAAUUCCCUCACGUGAGCCCUCCUUCAUCCCUCCCCUUCUCACAGGCACAGGGCAGCCACGACAGCAGAAGCCAGCUAACCGGUUCAGCCCCACCAGCCAAACGGCAGGCACUGUUCGGCACCCUCAAUUUCCUCCCAGCCAUGAAGUCAGGAACAACCUGUACAGACAAAGAAAAUAGAAACCUUGCGAAACAACGGCAUCCACAGUGCUUGCUGAGUGCGCCUGAGGAAACCUUCAAAGCUCUUGAGGAUGCCUCUUUGCGAUUCUGGAGAGAAACGAAGUCCACUAGACCCAGGGCCAUGCUCACACACAGUCAGCAUUGGCUCCGCUGCCUGCCCCCUCAAACGCGGAAGUCAAAUACAAUCCAAGAAAACAACCUCAGGUACUUAAUCGACUUAGAAUUGUAACUCACACACCUCUAUUAAGGUACAUUACAAGCCAGUGACAGCCUGCUGUGUUCCCGAUCUGGAAACAGAACUUUCCUAAGGAAAAACCAAAGAGCAAGAAAGGUCUAACAGGUUAUACAAUGGGCUGUCUGGCCACAGUGAAAAUGCUAUUUGGAGGAAAGAUAGGGAUUUAGAGAAAAAAACUCACAGCCACGCAUGGUGGCACAUGCCUAUAAUCCCAGCACUCGGGAGACUGAGGCAGGAAGAUCACCGUAACUGGAGGCCAGCCAGGGGUACUGAGUUCAAGGCCAGCUUGAACUACAUAGCGAGACCCUGUCUCAAACAAAAAUAAAAAAGAAACACCUCACCAUCUCUGUUCUGUUCUGCUUGUAGUUAACCCUUACUUCUAUAAAAAUAAGCCUUUUAACAUUUGCCUCACAAGAAACUUUUUUGAGACAGGGUCUCCCCUUGAACUCACUAUGUACCCCUGCCUGGCCUCCACUCAUGGUGAUCCUCCUGCCUCAGCCUCCCAAGUGCUGGGAUUACAGGUGUGCUCCACCAUGCCCGGCAAGAAACUAAUUGUGGCAAAGCAUUUUUAAUGGAACGAGAGUUUGGGAGGUGUAUAUGCAAAGUAAUCCUAGUUCCACCUAUGUCAUGUGAAGGUUCUAAAAGUACCACGCUACUAGUUCUAAUCAUAUAUUCCCUACAGCCCAAAAUGUAUAGCCAAAUUUUAUUACUCACAAUCCCAGUAUGUGGCAAAUGUCCCUUUCAAUUUUUAAAAAAGACUAUAGAAAGAAAACAGACACAUUAUGCUCUCAAUAUUGCCAGGCCUUAAAACUUCCAAAUCUUUGCACCCAUCUAUGAUGCAUGGCUUCAGCC
ensembl:lncRNA